UCGGGAAUAUUGGGCAAUGGAGGAAACUCUGACCCAGCAAUACCGCGUGAAGGAUGAAGGUUUUCGGAUUGUAAACUUCUGUUAUAAAGGAAGAAAAAAAUGACGGUACUUUAUAAGUAAGCCCCGGCAAACUAUGUGCCAGCAGCCGCGGUGAUACAUAGGGGGCAAGCGUUGUCCGGAAUGACUGGGUGUAAAGGGUGUGUAGGUGGCUUUUUAAGUUAGAGGUGAAAGCCCGGGGCUUAACUCCGGAACUGCCUUUAAAACUGGAUGGCUUGAGUGUGGGAGAGGUUAGUGGAAUUCCUAGUGUAGCGGUGGAAUGCGUAGAUAUUAGGAAGAACAUCAGAGGCGAAGGCGACUAACUGGAACAUUACUGACACUGAAACACGAAAGUGUGGGGAGC
rnacentral:rRNA from 1 species